UACGUAGGUGGCUAGCGUUGUCCGGAUUUACUGGGCGUAAAGAGCGCGCAGGCGGUCGUUCAAGUCGAGUGUGAAAGCCCCCGGCUCAACUGGGAGGGUCACUCGAUACUGAUCGACUCGAAGGCAGGAGAGGGAAGCGGAAUUCCCGGUGUAGUGGUGAAAUGCGUAGAUAUCGGGAGGAACACCAGUGGCGAAGGCGGCUUUCUGGCCUGUUCUUGACGCUGAGGCGGCGAAAGCUAGGGUAGCAAACGGG
rnacentral:rRNA from 1 species